rnacentral:rRNA from 1 species
AUGGCGGAGGGCAGGCGGCUCAAUAGGCGGGGCCCAGGCUGCCUCGAGGGCUUGUUCAAAUUUCUUGCCCUCAACCAAAAAUUGCAAACGCCAAAACUGAUUGCCUAUCAAAAGCAUGGGGAAGGAAAUGACAACACACUCAGAGUAAAAGUUCCGAAACCCAUAAACGGCAUAGAAAAAGAAGAAACUGUUCAGGAGACUGACAGCGUUUCUCCAACGACGAAGGCCAGCAUGUUUACAUGGAAGACACUCAUGUUCAGGAAGAAAACACACAAGAAAGAUCAAAAGAAGAUUGAAUCGCAUUCCAAUCCGCGUGACAGCUCCCCAUCGUCAUCACGUUUGAUACGCUCCAGCUCAAUCCAUCAUUCAAAAUGCUUCGAAUAUGUGGUUCCUGAUGAGUUGGCUUUGGAGUACCAGCGAAUGAACGAAUCGAGCUCCACUGAGACAGGCUCUAGUCAGGGUGCACCGCAGUCAUCACAUCAGAGCCCUAGAGGUCCCGUUUUUCAGGAGUCGCGCAAGGCUUCUGGUAGCAUUAGUGGCAAACAUAACUUGAUUGCAGAAGCACCCUGUGAGACCAUACCUGAGAACCUUACUACUGAGAAUGAGGUCUCCUCUAAGCAGAAAAGCCUUGACGAUUCAACGCAUCACUCGAAGGAGUUCUUGGAUUUCCUUGAAUUGUUCAAUGCACACAGGGAACUGUUUCUCAAGAUUCUUCACGAUCCUUCCUUGUUAGUACCACCUGAACAGCAAGAGCAAGAAGCUUCCUCUAGCGGUGCAGUACCGCUGAGCAAAUUAGAAUCGUUCCCAAGACCAGGAGGAUCAUCAGGGAAGCGUAACCCUAUAUUUGAUCGGAGCGACAGUGAGAAAAGCAGAAGGGCAGAAAUCCAAAGGUCGCCGUCAAGGCCUAAAUCUGACCUUGAAGGCGUAAAAGUCAUCAGUACAAGAAUGCCUUCUGGUGUCGAGGCAUCAACAGUUUCUCUUGCAGAAUCAAGAAGCCUAAAAAAAGCUGGAACCACUUCAAGUCGAUUUAAAGCUAUAAGUAAGAAGAUCAAACAUGUCGUAAAGGACGGAGUUUUUCAUAAAAUGCCUUAUGGCCAAAAGAUGGCUGAGUUAACCAAGAGCACCUCCACGAAGAAAUUUGCCCAGGAGGAGAAACAAAUACGAAGAUCAUAUUCUAUUGCAGAAUCAGUAGACAAGUACUCGACUCUCUAUGAUUCAAUGUCAAGGGAGUCAAGGAUUUCCUUCGAAAGACCAAGUACAGCAGUGGAAGACGAUGCAAGCUUAAGAGACAAGAAGUCGCCAAUGCACAUGAAAAGAAUAACUUCUCUUCCAGAAAUGGAAUUAUAUGCUCCUCAAAAAGAUGCUCUAACUGAAUUUCCUGGUUCUCAGAUUGUGCCCAAGACAUAUGAUGUGGAAUCUGAUCGGUUUUCUUCACAUCAAAAUGGCUCCUUCAGUAUUGUCACAGAAGGAAAUUUGUACCCUGAUUACAUCACAGAAAGAACAGCAGAUAUUUACAGUGAACAAAAUGAUGAAGAAGGUGCUUUCCUUUGUUCUCUAGAAGAAGAUUUACGUAGCAUUCUCCGAACUCCCAGUUCGUCUUCUUUUGGCCAGUCUUUCUCCCAUCGACGCAUCAACAGUUUACCUUCUUUUGACCGGACAUUUUUUCAAGAUCACAGCCGCAGUUUUACUGAGCAUUCUGUAGCAGAUUCAGAACCGACAUUUGAAGAUAUGCAACUGGAGGAUGAUGAGUGGUUGGUCAAGCCAUCACAGGCUUCAGGAGAAUAUGCUGCCAAUUUCAAGAAUGACCAGUGGCUAAUUAGGCCACUGCAACCCUCAGGCAUCGAUGCUACUGAUCAUGAGGACGAAGAGUGGGUUGUUGAGACACCACAGCUGCUAGGUGCCAAUGCUGUCGAGGAUGAAGAGUGGCUGGUCAAGCCGGCGCUGCCCUUGGGUGCCGAUGAUUCGAAUUCAGAGUUCCAGUUUAUACAUGAAUUCACCGAACAAAAUGAUGCAGGUUCCUUGCACAUUUAUGUCAAUGACGAGAAUGAGGCUGAUUUCCAGUAUGUGAAGGAUAUACUCAAGAAAUCCGGGUUCAGCUGUGGCGAGGCCGAUUGGUAUGCAUCCAACCAACCACUCAGCCCAGUGAUCUUCGAGGAGGCAGAAUGCUCAUGUCAGGAUCUUGAGAUGACCAAUGACGAGCCCCACAGCAUCGUCAGGCGCAUGCUCCUGUUUGAUAUCAUCAACGAGGUCCUGAUGCACAUCUACGACUCCUCCCUCGUCAACGGUCCGUGGCAUUCGCGCUUCGACCCGCGCACCAGGCCGAUACCCAUGGGGUCCCAUGUCCUUGAGGAGGUGUGGGAAAACGUUAGCUGCUACCUGAGCCUUCAGUGGAAGCCCAACACGACGGUGGACGACAUUGUGGCGCAUGAUGUUAUGAGGAAGGACAGCUGGAUGAACCUGCUGUACGACGCGGAGUGUGUCGCGCUGGACCUGGAGGAUCUUAUGGUGGAGGACCUUCUGGAUGAUGUUGUUCUUCAGAUAGUGUUAAUAUCUAUCGACGAAUGA